GACGAACGCUGGCGGCGUGCCUAAUACAUGCAAGUAGAACGCUGAAGGAGGAGCUGGCUCUUCUGGAUGAGUUGCGAACGGGUGAGUAACGCGUAGGUAACCUGCCUGGUAGCGGGGGAUAACUAUUGGAAACGAUAGCUAAUACCGCAUAAGAGUAGAUGUUGCAUGAAAUUUGCGUAAAAGGUGCAAUUGCAGCACUACCAGAUGGAGAUGCGUUGUAUUAGCUAGUUGGUGGGGGAACGGCUCACCAAGGCGACGAUACAUAGCCGACCUGAGAGGGUGCUCAGCCACACUGGGACUGGGACACGGCCCAGACUCCUACGGGAGGCCACAGUAGGGGAUCUUCGGCAAUGGACGGAAAUCUUACCGCUCAACGCCGCGUGAGUGAAGAAAGUUUUCGGAUCGUAAAGCUCUGUUGUAAGAGAAGAACGAGUGUGAGAGUGAAACGUUCACACUGUGACGGUAUCUUACCAGAAAGGGACGGCUAACUACGUG
rnacentral:rRNA from 1 species